CACACUCUGAAAAAGUUUAAAAUUAUUUAAACUUAUUAGAAACAGGGAAACAGAUAAAAGGUAACUAGAAUUUGUGAACUUAUUUAUGUAUUUCUUAUCUGUCAGAUAUUUAUAGACUUGGGAAAAAUGUGCUUCCAGGGAUUAAAUCUAAAAGUCAAACAGUGUUUUGUUUCUGAUUUUGUUUGUUGGCUUGUUUUUUGUUUUUCUUUUGGGUUUUUUUUUGUGCAAGAAUUUAAUGUGAUCCAUUGAAAGGAAUACAAGUGAAGAAGGCCUUUCAGGAAUAUAGAACAAUCUCAAUUAAAUACUGCCUUUUUGCUCCACUCCUCCUUUCCUCAGUUCAGCAGAGAAGCAGCAGCAACUCUAAUUCCCUAAUUCCUGAGGCAGGACAGAACUUGUUGGAGAAGUACAGCCUGCCUCCUCUCCAGGAAACCCCUCCUUGCUUCCUCUCUUGAUGCUGAGAUAAAAAACUGCUGGCAAAGAAGCAGAGCCAAAGGAGGUUUUGGCAUCGAAAAUGGCUCUCGUAGCACUGCCAGGAGAAGGGAAUGCUGGAAAGAAGAUUCCUGGAGAGGGUUGAACUUCACUUUGCACCAUGCAAGCAGCACAACGUGAGGCUGAAGAUGAACAGAUCCUGUCUCAAAACUGCUUGGAGAUCGUAGAUGGAGUAACAUAGAGAGCCUAUGCUUGAAUUUUAUCUAUGGGAAUGGAGUAAAAUGUAUUUACCAUAUUUGCAAAGUGGCAAGCAGUUCAGUGGAGCUUUGGUAUUAAGUAUCAUUUACACUUGCUUUCUGGCCUGUUAUAGUGUCAGUGUAGGCAAAAUUGUCUUCUUCACACAGAUGCAGUAAAAAAUUCUAGCAUGAAGGCUUUUUGAUGCUAAUAAAAACUGUUUGCCUAAGGACAAACUUCAGAGGAAUGCAAAUUUUCCAGUAUCUCCUGAUUCUUGUCAGACUGACUGUGUGUCCCAGAAAUUACUUUUCUUGAGACAUUUCUGUGCUUCUUUUACCAAAAUUCAAGAAUUAAAAAAAAAAAAAAAAAAGCAUUCAUAAUGGGCAUGAAAUAUUAUUUUCAGCUAUCCAAAGUAUUUGUCAAAUCUCUGGAAAAUAUUUGGGGUUUAUCUACAAGUUUAAGCCUUUGGGUUUCUCCAGAUUUGUGGAUGCUACCAUUAAUACUUAGUCAUAGCACAGAGCAGCCCUGUUGCUUUCUUCUGUUGGGUUUUGGGUGUUUUGCCUGCUGCAAGUGAAAACAUAAAAAUAUUAAGAACCAGAAAUGAAUGUGGAAAAAUCUUUGAAAAUAAACUAACUCCAAUGCUUUAAAUUGUUAGAAAUAAGACAUAUGUAAACGAUUUGUUUGUGUUUGUUUAAAGAAGUUCUGUUUAAUGUUAAUUUAGUGAAAUUCAACUGUUGCAUAAGCUUCUAGGAAUUAUUUGAAGAUUCCUAGGAAGAUUAAUUGGUCUUUUUUUUGGAAUGGUACUUGCUUGCUACUUUUUGAAAUAAAGUUGAAGAGAAUGAGACUACAUAAAA